UUGCUUUGGCAGCACAUAUACAUUUCCUGGAAUGAUACAGAGAAGAUUAGCAUGGCCCCUGUGUAAGGAUGACACACACAUUGGUGAAGUAUUCCAUAUUUUU
rnacentral:snRNA from 1 species